UCUCCUGACCUCGUGAUCCGCCCUCCUCGGCCUCCCAAAGUACUGGGAUUACAGGAGUGAGUCACCACGCCCGGCCGGAUUAUGGAUUUUUAAGAGGAAAACCACAGAGGAGUUUUAAUACUUUAUAUCUUUCAAUAAAUUGGUAAAUAUCAUCUAACAUCAAAUUUGUGGGAAUAGCCCUGUUCAAUGAACACCUGGACUAUCCUUUAAUGAUGUCUACAUCAAUGGAAGCCAAGCCACACUGCUAACUGAUGAGAGACCAGCUUGAAAGAGGGAGGACCUGCCAAUUGCCAUCAGCACAACUCCAGAUAUAUGGGAGUCAGGUGAUCAUAAACCAUCCAUUUUCUGCUGAGUCACAGUAGACUGCAACUCCAUGAAUGAGACAAGGAGGUGUCGGUAAAAACAAAACAAAACAAAACAAAGCAAAAACUGCCUGGUGUAACCACAGAAUCUUAAGAAAUAAUAAAUGAUUUUAAUCCAA
rnacentral:lncRNA from 1 species